AACUUCCUCAUGCUACUCUAUUUAAGCCCCAGCAUCCUUAUGAAAGCUCUCUCUAGGCGACUUUCAAAGAUUUACCAAAAACGGCUGUGAAUCUGAUAGAAACUUUACUCUCUGUGGAACCAUACAAGCGUGGAACCGCAUCUUCCGCUCUUGCAUCUGAGUAUUUCAAAACAAAGCCCUAUGCAUGUGACCCGUUGACCUUGCCAAAAUAUCCACCAAAUAAAGAGAUUGAUGCCAAACAUCGUGAGGAGGCACAAAGGUAAGAUUUCUCGUCUCCUUUUUUUAGCGGUACAUGGAAGAAUUUGGCAGCAAAACAUGUGCCGAAUCCACUGUAGCCUAGCAUCUAAAACAGAGGGAGCAUUUAGGUAGUUUUUGCAAUAUUAAAAAAAAAAAAAAAUCAAUAAUAAUGAUACAAGAAAUAUUUGAACAACAA